rnacentral:tRNA from 1 species
UGUUCUGUUGCUUAGUUGGUUAAAGCGCCGGUCUAGCGAAUACGGAGUCGUGGGUUCAAAUCCCACCAGAACGC